GAUGAACGCUGGCGGCGUGCCUAAUACAUGCAAGUCGAGCGAACAGACGAGGAGCUUGCUCCUCUGACGUUAGCGGCGGACGGGUGCGUAACACGUGGAUAACCUACCUAUAAGACUGGGAUAACUUCGGGAAACCGGAGCUAAUACCGGAUAAUAUAUUGAACCGCAUGGUUCAAUAGUGAAAGACGGUUUUGCUGUCACUUAUAGAUGGAUCCGCGCCGCAUUAGCUAGUUGGUAAGGUAACGGCUUACCAAGGCAACGAUGCGUAGCCGACCUGAGAGGGUGAUCGGCCACACUGGAACUGAGACACGGUCCAGACUCCUACGGGAGGCAGCAGUAGGGAAUCUUCCGCAAUGGGCGAAAGCCUGACGGAGCAACGCCGCGUGAGUGAUGAAGGUCUUCGGAUCGUAAAACUCUGUUAUUAGGGAAGAACAAAUGUGUAAGUAACUAUGCACGUCUUGACGGUACCUAAUCAGAAGGCCACGGCUAACUACGUG
rnacentral:rRNA from 1 species